rnacentral:rRNA from 1 species
UACGUAGGGGGCAAGCGUUAUCCGGAAUUACUGGGUGUAAAGGGUGAGUAGGCGGCAUGGUAAGCCAGAUGUGAAAGCCUUGGGCUUAACCCGAGGAUUGCAUUUGGAACUAUCAAGCUAGAGUACAGGAGAGGAAAGCGGAAUUCCUAGUGUAGCGGUGAAAUGCGUAGAUAUUAGGAAGAACACCAGUGGCGAAGGCGGCUUUCUGGACUGAAACUGACGCUGAGGCACGAAAGCGUGGGGACCAAACAGG